GUUACCGCUCAGCCGGAGAGAGCUAGCGUGCGUUAGCAUGUUAGCUGCGAUCACGCUUCAGUUUGUAGAAGAGAACGGACAUUUUCCAAACCAAAGAUGAGUCUUUAGAAUUAUGUCAUAUUUUAUCUACAGUCCAACCUCUAAGCAGGACUGUUACUUUAGUAGAUAAUGUUAUUUGUGGGGUUUGUGUAACAGAACCCCAUCAGAAUAUAUUUCCCUAGCGCUAUCGCUGUGCUACAUAAGAAUAAAUAAUGUCAGCCAUAACAACACGUUUGACUAAAAGUAAAGUUGUGCAGAAGUUUGUGUUUAUUUUUCUAAAUUUGUCCAGUUGAAUGUAGGUCAGAAUAAAAUAUGUUUGUGAAAAUGAUAAAUAAUUUUUUUUAUAACUGACCUGCAUUUUCAUAUUACUAGUUGUGCCACAGGUAAAGAAGCUUAGCCAUUAUUGAUCUAUGUAAACAGAAGGUGUAGAGUCUCAACCAACUUUUUGACAUUUUUGUUUAAAAAUGUGUUUUCCAGCUACCGGAAGAAGCAGGCUCCUGAAACUGCAAUUCAGGGAGGUUAUGUGAAGGCAACCUCAACACCCAGUAAGAGAACAGCAGCUAAAAUGUCGCAUCGAUUAUCUCCAACUGAACCUGUGUCUGAGGGGGAAGAUUUUCUAAUGGCUGGUGUUGAGGCCUUAGCUGAUGACCUAGAUUUGGAUCCUUUUGAAGAAAGUUUCAAAUCCAUGGAUCUAGCUACGGAUGCAGUCCAAAUUGAUGAGGACCAAGCAAACAACUUACUCAACAGUGUGCUGGGAUCCUAAAGGGAAUUUCCAUCCUACUUGUGUGGCUGAAUGACAUC